rnacentral:lncRNA from 1 species
AGAAGGUGAUUGUAAGUCUGGACAGGACAUUGAACGACACUUUGCUCCAAGCUGUUAAAGGUGAUAUCAUUGGUAUUAUGAUGAUUCAAAUCCAAGCAGAAUCUCUUUGCAAGGAUAAUGAUUGUUAAGAAAAUCCCAGCAACAGCUUAGGGGGAGCAUUUGGUGGAUCCACUAGUCAAACUCAACACCACAUUGAAGAUGAACAGGACAUAUGAAGAACGUGCUCGUAGCUAAUAUGGAACUUCAACUGAAGAUGGAGUGAGCUGUUUUGAUAGUGAAGCCUCAUCAGAUGAGUAUUAGCUAUGGCACUUGAAGCUCUCAAACUUGUAUGUCAAAACAAGGAGCUCUUUUUCUUAGUAAGAAGAGAUUUGGUGAGAGGACUGCCUCAUCUGGAAUUCAUUAUGGAUGAAGAUUAUGAGGUAUGUCAAUAGGGAAGUCAAAGGAGCAUCGCACAUAAGCAAAGAUAUGAUCAAUAUUACUGAGCCGCUUCAGAUGAUACGUAUGGAUUUCUACGGAUCAGUUAAUGUCAUGUCUACAACAAAGCCAAAUAUCUUUUUGCGAAGAUCAUUGACUACUCUAGAUUCUUUCGUGUUGUUCGUAUGUGUUCGAAGGACAAGACGUCACAAAUGAAGGUUGAUCAAGAUGAACCCUGAUCAUUGAUAAAUCCAGAAAGACACCAUUCUUGUCAGUGGCCAAUCAGAAGCAAACACUAACUCUUGGUAUGUGUUUGGAGGAAAAUGCCUCUUUGCAAGUCUUGCAUUUGAAGCUCAAAGAAUAUUUUCCUCGGCUACUCAAUGGAGUCUACAGUCUACAGGGUGAUUGUGAUUAAUCAACAGAAGGUGAUUGUAAGUCUGGACAGGACAUUGAACGACACUUUGCUCCAAGCUGUUAA